UACGUAGGGGGCUAGCGUUGUCCGGAAUCAUUGGGCGUAAAGCGCGCGUAGGCGGUCCGGUAAGUCCGCUGUGAAAGUCGGGGGCUCAACCCUCGAAUGCCGGUGGAUACUGGCGGGCUAGAGUGCGGAAGAGGCGAGUGGAAUUCCUGGUGUAGCGGUGAAAUGCGCAGAUAUCAGGAGGAACACCAAUUGCGAAGGCAGCUCGCUGGGACGUUACUGACGCUGAGACGCGAAAGCGUGGGGAGCAAACAGG
rnacentral:rRNA from 1 species